UACGAAGGGGGCUAGCGUUGUUCGGAAUCACUGGGCGUAAAGCGCACGUAGGCGGAUCUUUAAGUCAGGGGUGAAAUCCCUCGGCUUAACCGAGGAACUGCCUGUCAGACUGGAAGGCUUGAGACCGGGAGAGGUGAGUGGAAUUCCCAGUGUAGCGGUGAAAUGCGUAGAUAUUGGGAGGAACACCAGUGGCGAAGGCGGCUCACUGGCCCGAUACUGACGCUGAGGCACGAAAGCGUGGGAGCAACAGG
rnacentral:rRNA from 1 species